rnacentral:rRNA from 1 species
UACGUAGGUGGCGAGCGUUGUCCGGAUUAUUGGGCGUAAAGGGCUCGUAGGUGGCGGGUCACGUCGGGUGUGAAAGCCCGGGGCUUAACUCCGGGUCUGCAUUCGAUACGGGUCUGCUGGGGUCCGGCAGGGGAGACUGGAAUUCCUGGUGUAGCGGUGAAAUGCGCAGAUAUCAGGAGGAACACCGGUGGCGAAGGCGGGUCUCUGGGCCGGUACCGACGCUGAGAGCGAAAGCGUGGGGAGCGAACAGGG